rnacentral:rRNA from 1 species
CCCUUAGAUGUUCUGGACCGCACGCGCGCUACACUGACGAAUGCAACGAGCUUAUAACCUUGGCCGAAAGGUCUGGGUAAUCUCCAAAUUUCGUCGUGAUGGGGAUAGAUUAUUGCAAUUAUUAAUCUUCAACGAGGAAUGCCUAGUAAGCGCAAGUCAUCAGCUUGCGUUGAUUACGUCCCUGCCCUUUGUACACACCGCCCGUCGCUCCUACCGAUUGAAUGGUCCGGUGAAGCGUUCGGACCGUGGCCUUUGGACGGUUCGCCGUCUGUUGGCUGCGGGAAGUUCGUUAAACCUUAUCAUUUAGAGGAAGGAGAAGUCGUAACA